AGUUCGGUCCGGCUCAGAUUGAACGCUGGCGGGAUGCUUUACAUGCAAGUCGAACGGCAGCACGGACUUCAGUCUGGUGGCGAGUGGCAGAACGGGUGAGUAAUGUAUCGGAACGUGCCUAGUAGCGGGGGAUAACUACGCGAAAGCGUAGCUAAUACCGCAUACGCCCUUCGAAGGGGAAAGCGGGGGACCUUCGGGCCUCGCACUAUUAGAGCGGCCGAUAUCGGAUUAGCUAGUUGGUGGGGUAACGGCUCACCAAGGCGACGAUCCGUAGCUGGUUUGAGAGGACGACCAGCCACACUGGGACUGAGACACGGCCCAGACUCCUACGGGAGGCAGCAGUGGGGAAUUUUGGACAAUGGAAACCCUGAUCCAGCCAUCCCGCGUAUCUGCGAUGAAGGCCUUCGGGUUGUAAAGCACUUUUGGCAGGAAAGAAACGGCACGGGAUAAUACCCCGUGCAACUGACGUACCUGCAGAAUAAGCACCGGCUAACUACGUGCCAGCAGCCGCGGUAAUACGUAGGGUGCAAGCGUUAAUCGGAAUUACUGGGCGUAAAGCGUGCGCAGGCGGUUCGGAAGAAAGAUGUAAAAAUCCCAGAGCUUAACUUUGGAACUGCAUUUUUAACUACCGAGCUAGAGUGUGUCAGAGGGAGGUGGGAUUCCGCGUGUAGCAGUGAAAUGCGUAGAUAUGCGGAGGAACACCGAUGGCGAAGGCAGCCUCUAAGGAUAACACUGACGCUCAUGCACGAAAGCGUGGGGGAGCAAACGGGAUUAGAUACCUGGUAGUCCACGCCCUAAACGACGUCAACUAGCUGUUGGGGCCUUCGGGCCUUGGUAGCGCAGCUAACGCUGAAGUUGACCGCCUGGGGAUGCGGUCGCAAGAUUAAAACUCAAAGGAAUUGACGGACCCGCACAAGCGGUGGAUGAUGUGGGUUAAUUCGAUGCAACGCGAAAAACCUUACCUACCCUUGACAUGUCUGGAAUCCCGAAGAAGGAUUUAGGAGUGCUCGCAAGAGAACGGAACACAGGUGCUGCAUGGCUGUCGUCAGCUCGUGUCGUGAGAUGUUGGGUUAAGUCCCGCAACGAGCGCAACCCUUGUCAUUAGUUGCUACGAAAGGGCACUCUAAUGAGACUGCCGGUGACAAACCGGAGGAAGGUGGGGAUGACGUCAAGUCCUCAUGGCCCUUAUGGGUAGGGCUUCACGUCAUACAGUGGUCGGGACAGAGGGUCGCCAACCCGCGAGGGAACCAAUCCCAGAAACCCGAUCGUAGUCCGGAUCGCAGUCUGCAACUCGACUGCGUGAAGUCGGAAUCGCUAGUAAUCGCGGAUCAGCAUGUCGCGGUGAAUACGUUCCCGGGUCUUGUACACACCGCCCGUCACACCAUGGGAGUGGGUUUUACCAGAAGUAGUUAGCCUAACCGUAAGGAGGGCGAUUACCACGGUAAGUUCAUGACUGGGGUGAAGUCGUAACAAGGCCAG
rnacentral:rRNA from 1 species